AUUGAACGCUGGCGGCAUGCCUUACACAUGCAAGUCGAACGGCAGCGCGGGAGCAAUCCUGGCGGCGAGUGGCGAACGGGUGAGUAAUAUAUCGGAACGUGCCCAGUAGUGGGGGAUAGCCCGGCGAACGCCGGAUUAAUACAGCAUACGACCGGAGGGUGAAAGGGGGGGGUCGCAAGACCUCUCGCUAUUGGAGCGGCCGAUAUCCGAUUAGGUAGUUGGUGGGGUAAAGGCCUACCAAGCCUGCGAUCUGUAGUUGGUCUGAGAGGACGACCAGCCACACUGGGACUGAGACACGGCCCAGACUCCUACGGGAGGCAGCAGUGGGGAAUUUUGGACAAUGGGCGCAAGCCUGAUCCAGCAAUGCCGCGUGCAGGAAGAAGGCCUUCGGGUUGUAAACUGCUUUUGUCAGGGAAGAAAUCCUCUAGGCUAAUACCUUGGGGGGAUGACGGUACCUGAAGAAUAAGCACCGGCUAACUACGUGCCAGCCGCCGCCGUAACAC
rnacentral:rRNA from 1 species